rnacentral:rRNA from 1 species
UACGGAGGGUGCAAGCGUUAAUCGGAAUCACUGGGCGUAAAGGGCGCGCAGGCUGUUAUGCGAGUCUGCUGUGAAAGGCACCGGCUCAACCGGUGAGUUGCGGCGGAUACUGCAUAGCUGGAGUACUGGAGAGGCAAGUGGAAUUCCUAGUGUAGCGGUGAAAUGCGUAGAUAUUAGGAGGAACACCGGUGGCGAAGGCGGCUUGCUGGACAGGUACUGACGCUGAGGUGCGAAAGUGUGGGGAGCAAACAGG